rnacentral:misc_RNA from 1 species
UGGUUCUCCCAUCGAUGAAGAACGCAGCGAAUUGCGAUAAGUAAUGUGAAUUGCAGAAUUCAGUGAAUCAUCGAAUCUUUGAACGCAGCUUGCGCUCCUCGGUAUUCCGAGGAGCAUGCCUUUUUGAGUGUCGUUAAUCUUCUCCAACCAAUUCUUUUUUUAAUUAAAAAAGAAUUGCGCGGGUCCGUGGGCUUGCUUGGCCGCUUCGGCCAAGCUUGCCUUAAAUAUAUGAGCUGAAGAUCAGUCGGGUUGCUAAGGCAAUUAUUAGCCCGCGUAAACGGUCUUUGCUUUCCAUACAUUUUUAUUCAUUUACUGACCUCAAAUAAGGUAGGACUACCCGCUGA